rnacentral:rRNA from 1 species
UAGAGUUUGAUCAUGGCUCAGGAUGAACGCUAGCGAUAGGCCUAACACAUGCAAGUCGAGGGGCAGCACAUGAAGCAGCAAUGCGGAUGGUGGCGACCGGCGCACGGGUGAGUAACGCGUAUGCAACCUACCUACAACAGGGGGAUAACCCGUUGAAAGACGGACUAAUACCCCAUAACACAGGGGUCCCGCAUGGGAAUAUUUGUUAAAGAUUAAUCGGUUGUAGAUGGGCAUGCGUUCCAUUAGCUAGUUGGUGAGGUAACGGCUCACCAAGGCAACGAUGGAUAGGGGAACUGAGAGGUUUAUCCCCCACACUGGUACUGAGACACGGACCAGACUCCUACGGGAGGCAGCAGUGAGGAAUAUUGGUCAAUGGACGCAAGUCUGAACCAGCCACGUCGCGUGAAGGAAGACGGCCCUACGGGUUGUAAACUUCUUUUGUAAGGGAAUAAAGUACAGUACGUGUACUGUUUUGCAUGUACCUUACGAAUAAGGAUCGGCUAACUCCGUGCCAGCAGCCGCGGUAAUUCA